UCAAAUGAUUUACCAACACAUACCCAACUUUUUUGUCAUCUCACCCACACACUCAAAAGUUGUCGAAAAAAGUUUCCAUAAAGCGAGCAAGUGAAAAUCAGGCGAAAUUUGACAGCGAAUUUCAAAUUUGAUUCUAGUAGGCUGCGAAGAAAAACAUCAAUUUCGCGCAAAAUUUUGGAGAUAGCCAAACAUCAGCAGGAGACUUAAGCCAUCAGAACCUUGAAGAUUGCCAAACAUCUGCAAAGACAUCCACAGCACACUGAACACCAUUGGUCACCAACAGCUCUCAACCCUACAUCAUACCAGCUACAUUGUUCGAUGAGUUUUAUUGUUCAAAUCAGUCAUGCCCAGCGCAGGGCACUUGCAUAUGGA
rnacentral:lncRNA from 1 species